rnacentral:tRNA from 1 species
GGUUUUAUAUUCAAGUUAAAAUGAUUUUAAAUUGCAAAUUUAAAGGUAUAAAAGUAUUUAUUAAAGCUU